UUCUUUCGAGUCUGUAGUUGCGGGCUUUCCACGAAGGCCCUAGUCCAUGGCAGAUGCGGUCGAAAGGAUCCACGUAAGUCCCGCGGCGCGUCCGCGAAGGCGAGCACGGCGUAUCCUAGAGGUAAGACGCACCCUCCGUUUAUACGAGCGGCAUACCGUCGCGACGGGGGAGAGGGUGGCGCGAAAGCCAAGCCCCGGUGCGCGAGUGUGGGGUCGAAAACUAGGUCAGUCGGAAGAA
rnacentral:ncRNA from 2 species